rnacentral:rRNA from 1 species
GGAUUCCCCUAGUAACUGCGAGUGAAGCGGGAAAAGCUCAAAUUUAAAAUCCUUCGGGAGUUGUAAUCUAGAGAAGUAUUUUCGGCCGUGGCCUCGGACAAGUCCCUUGGAACAGGGCGUCAUAGAGGGUGAGAAUCCCGUCCUUGCCGAGCUAACCGCGUCUAUGUGAUAUACUCUCGACGAGUCGAGUUGUUUGGGAAUGCAGCUCAAAAUGGGUGGUAAACUCCAUCUAAAGCUAAAUAUUGGCGAGAGACCGAUAGCGAACAAGUACCGUGAGGGAAAGAUGAAAAGCACUUUGGAAAGAGAGUUAAACAGUACGUGAAAUUGUUGAAAGGGAAGCGCUUGAAGUCAGUCGCGUUGCAAGGACUCAGCCUCACGGUGCAUUUCUUUGUAACGGGUCAACAUCAGUUUUGGCCGCGGGAAAAGGGCUUGAGGAAUGUGGCAGCUCCGGCUGUGUUAUAGCCUCUUGUCGUACACCGCGGCUGGGACUGAGGACCGCUUUAUAGGAUGUUGACGAAAUGGCUUUAAGCGACCCGUCUUGAAACACGGACCAAGGAGUCUAACAUGUCUGCGAGUGUUUGGGUGUUAAACCCAUGCGCGUAAUGAAAGUGAACGUAGGUGGGAGGCCUCGGCCGCACCAUCGACCGAUCCGGAUCUUUAGUGAUGGAUUUGAGUAAGAGCAUAUAUGUUGGGACCCGAAAGAUGGUGAACUAUGCCUGAAUAGGGCGAAGCCAGAGGAAACUCUGGUGGAGGCUCGUAGCGAUUCUGACGUGCAAAUCGAUCGUCAAAUUUGGGUAUAGGGGCGAAAGACUAAUCGAA